UUUCUCAUCCAAAAAAAAAAAAAAAAAUACCGUUACAUUAAUAUCCUUCCGAAAAGCCGCUUCACUAAGACCAACUAAUUGUGGCCCCUUCAAAGGCUUUUCCCCUUCCAAAGUAAAACUCCUAACCCUUAAAUUGUGUCUUUCACAGGCCACCUCUUUUAUGCACUUUGUGGAAAGCCUGUUAGAUGUAACGAAUGUGCUUGAUGCUGCAAAGUUUUUGUCCAUGGAAUCAUUGGAAAUCUGUAAUUCACCAAAAAAAUUGACAUGUUAUGUUUCUUGGCUUCUACCCCUCAAGUGAAAAGGCAUCAGAGAUACCCUUAAGUUUUAUUUUGAUGUCGUUCAGAUGACGCAUAUCUGAUAAAAGAGUUUUUGUGAUUUUUGUUCAGGUUUUGCGCAAAUAGGGUGUUCACAUCCUAACGGCCUACCGCCUACUGCAAAGAUUGUUCAUACUGGUCAGCAAUGUAUUGUUGCACAAAGUGAACAAAACACACGUUUUGCUGCUAGAGUUUUGCACAGGGCACAAAAUUGCAAGAGCUUUGCUUCAACCACAAGGGAUUUCUGGACAAAUGGCUAGGAGGAAUGCUCCAACUUAAAUAAGGUAGACGCCUUUGCAAUGCUCCAAACUUUUAAUUUGGCUAUUUUUUUUAAUCCUGAAGAAUGUUUCUUCUGUGAUUGUGCGGGUUUGACUGAAGUUAUGGAGUGAUAAGAAAUAGGAGUUAAGGUAUGUGUUAUGUUGAUAAGAGUACCCUAUCUCUCUUUCAUUCAUGAUUACAUAAUUGAACAGACAGAGAAGCUAACGACCUCCAGAUGCAUUCAUUUACUAACGAUAGUUUCAAAAGUUUUCCUUACGUAAUUGUGAUGUGUAAAUUAAUUUUCAAUUCCUAUAUUUGUGGACAAGUUGACUUAUAGAUGGUGAGCCA